rnacentral:rRNA from 1 species
UACGGGGGGGCAAGCGUUGUUCGGAAUUACUGGGCGUAAAGGGUUCGUAGGUGGCUUGUUAAGUCAGACGUGAAAUCCCUCGGCUCAACCGGGGAACUGCGUCUGAGACUGAUGAGCUCGAGUGCAGGAGAGGAACGCGGAAUUCCAGGUGUAGCGGUGAAAUGCGUAGAUAUCUGGAGGAACACCGGUGGCGAAGGCGCCACUCUGGGCCGAAACUGACGCUGAGGAGCGAAAGCGUGGGGAGCGAACAGG